UUGAAGGUUGGGUAACACUAACUGGAGGACCGAACCGACUAAUGUUGAAAAAUUAGCGGAUGACCUGUGGCUGGGGGUGAAAGGCCAAUCAAACCGGGAGAUAGCUGGUUCUCCCCGAAAGCUAUUUAGGUAGCGCCUCGUGAAUUCAUCUCCGGGGGUAGAGCACUGUUUCGGCUAGGGGGCCAUCCCGGCUUACCAACCCGAUGCAAACUGCGAAUACCGGAGAAUGUUAUCACGGGAGACACACGGCGGGUGCUAACGUCCGUCGUGAAGAGGGAAACAACCCAGACCGCCAGCUAAGGUCCCAAAGUCAUGGUUAAGUGGGAAACGAUGUGGGAAGGCCCAGACAGCCAGGAUGUUGGCUUAGAAGCAGCCAUCAUUUAAAGAAAGCGUAAUAGCUCACUGGUCGAGUCGGCCUGCGCGGAAGAUGUAACGGGGCUAAACCAUGCACCGAAGCUGCGGCAGCGACACUGUGUGUUGUUGGGUAGGGGAGCGUUCUGUAAGCCUGUGAAGGUGUGUCGUGAGG
rnacentral:rRNA from 1 species